UGUGUGUAUGUAUAUAUAUCAAUCUAAACCUCUGCUACGACCACCACACUCAAAUCCUCAGCUCCUUCUAAAUUAGUAACCAGCAGUUUAAAUACUCCCCUGGUGUGUUCCUGCCUCAGAAUGUUGGUUCUUGUAUCUGAUUUCCCUUCCAUUUGAUAUGCAUAUUUUAAUCCCUACUGAGUCCAAAAUGUUCCAUUUCUACCUACUGAUCACAUAGUUAACAAAAGCUAUGUUUUGCAAAUAAUUUACACUCUAGUUGAAAAACAUAAAUCAUAUUGGAAGGCAUCUAUUUUAUGUUAAGGUAAUCAUGUUUCAACGUGCUCUCCAAAUCUCAGUGGAUUGCCACUGUACAUGGUUAUUUAUUGCUGCUGCUUCUCCUGGGAGGUAGCAUGCCCCCGGGUGCUUCAUGGACAUGGGAUCCUGUUGCUCCACUAUUUGUAACACCUGAUUUGCAAGGUCGUCAAGCUCAGCUGAAUCAAGGAAAAAGACCAUGGAAGACAGCACGUGUGAGGCAGGCCAAGCGUGUGAGGAGUACACGCAUCACUUAUGCUCGUAUUCCCUGGCCAGAACUUAGUUUUAUGGCCACGUCUAACUACAAAGGAAGGAGGGAAACCUAACAUGUCUGUUCCCAGAAAUAAGGCAAAGCAGAUUUGGUGAAUAAUUAGCCCAUCUCAGUCAUAGUACGUGGAAGGCUGCCUGGUUCACCCUCCAUCCCAUAGCUCAAUUCAUAGACUAACAUCUAUAAUGACCAGUCCUUUACUAUCUCUGCACACCUGGAUGUGGGUCAGACAAAGAAAUUCAAUUUUUUCACAAUAUUGAUGGGAAAGUCCUUUCUAAUAUAUAGUUGAAGUUUCCUUCUCUGUAAUUAUCACCAGGGGUUCAGGAUCUUCUUUGAAAACCCCAAGGCUUGAAUCUCUCCUCUCUUCCAUAAUGCAAGAGGCCAGGGGAAAGGAGUUGGGUUAGGGACUGGGUGGAGGUGGGCAAGUGGGGGAUGGGUCAUCUAUAAUAGUGUCAACAAUAAAAAAUAAAGUUAAUUUUUUAAAAAAGCCCUGGAGUAACUCACCAGAGAACCAGGGCCCUGUGCUAUUGUUCUUGGCACACCUGUUAAUCAUAUUUUCAAUGUUAGCAUGCUUCUGAAAAAUUUUUUUCUUAACAAGAUGCCCUAAGUUAUUUCAACUUUAUAUGCUGUAUUUACCAGGUUGAUCCUGGUUGUUUUCACCCAGACUUCAUGUGAAUUGUCAUGGCCUAUUUAAAGAGUAGGGUGCUGAACUGACACACUACUCCAGAUGCUGUAUGACUUGUACAGAGAACAUCUAAACAGAGGCCAGACGACUAAAAUUUAAAUUCUGACUUUCUAUUUACUAGUUGUGUGAUUUUGAACAUGUUACUUAAUAUAUGUCACAGUUUCCCUGUUAUGCAACUUCUUGGGAAUAGUAAUACUAUCUAUUUGUCAUUGUGGUUUUAUUAAGCUAUUAAGUAGAGUUGUGCGUAAAUUAUUUUGUGUUGCCUAGGGAUAGACACUUAGUGUCAUUAUAAGUUAAUAUAUUCCUUAUUAUGUGUGAUACAUCUAUUAUUCCAGUCUUAGUCUGCCAGAACUUUUAGAAUCAUGUCUAAAUGUUUAUAGAUUUAAAAAUUGUCGAGUUGUUUGUAGAUGGAUUGGACUAAAAAGAAUAUAUGUGAAGAGCCCAAGGAACGGCAGCUGUACGCCUGUUUCAUGGGAAAGGAGAAGGCAGAAGGGACAGAUACUGCUGAGGCACAGCCACAGGACUUGGUGCCUCUUCCCUACCUACUCCCAUUCUGCGUCUUUCAAAUCCCUGUCCUCCUGAGAGUGUCCUCCUGUUACCCCCAACUGAAAACAAUCUGCUGCUUUUUCCAAAUCUCUAGCACAUCUUCCUUUUGCUAUUCCCUCAAUGUUUAUUAGUAAUAAUUAUGUCACUAGCUAAUGUUUAUUGAACACAUCUGGUGCUGUGUGUUAGAUUAGAACCUUCUCAUGUCCAUGAUUUUCUUACCCUGUUUUACUAUUUUUACUUACUAUCUUGUACCUCACAGUCUAGAUUAUAGACAGGACUGUGCUUUCAUCUGAGUAGGGAAUUCCCUCUGAUGUCAGCAGGAACUCCAAGAUCAGUCAAAUCUCUGGUGAAGAAAACUUCCAGUGUAAGUUUAUUUCAGGGAAAUCAAACACCCAGGAAAAUGUUUAUAUUUUUCAGGUUUUCUCUUCAAUUCGCACUGUGUUCUAUGCACUGAAUGAAGGAAAGUGUUCUAGGUGAAAUUAGGCCAUAGAGUUUCUUUGGGUAAGGUGGAGUCCAGAUAAUACUCAAAUGUCUUAUCUUCAAAAUUUGUGUAUGCAUGUGUGUUUUUAACAUACUCAGAGUAGAAACACUUCAUAGCACCCUUGAACAACAAAAUAGUUUCUGUAGGUGGAUUUUUGAAAGACCUGUUUCAGGACACUUUUAGGAAAUCUCUAAAAUUUCUAGGAGCCAUACAUAUAUAUAUACACACACACGCAUACAUACGUUGCUUAUUACAACUUUCUCUUUACGAGGCAUUGGCACUAGAUAUAAAAUUAUUUAGAAAUGAACAUUUGCUCUCUUGAGUUGUAAUUUCUUCAGCCACUGCAGUUGCUUUUAUAGUUGUUUUAAGAAAGAAAAGUAUACUAAACAUUUCCUCAAGUGAAAUUUUAGCACCCAUCAAGGAGAAAUCCAUCCUUUUAAAGAAUUUGUAGGUUAAACACAGAGAGAGAGAAAGCUGAGUAGUUUUUUAAAGACAUUAUUUAGUGACCCUCUUUGGAAAUUCUCCCUUGUUCAUACAUUUGCCCUACUUAACUAUAAGGUUAUCUUUUCCCUGUCUCUUCUGUGAGGACACCCAGUGCAAGUCAUUGCUGAUGUUCUCCUGGGAGAUGGGGACCCAGCAGUAGGCUGUGAGUAUAGUGUGAUACCAGGAUGUGGGGAGGAGGUUUUUGGGAAGAUCACUUGGUGAGAACAACAGGAAAUGAUGCCAGCACAUUGGGUGAGGCCAGUUGGCCAAGUCAUUAGCUGUGUCCCUGAUGUAAUUGGCUGUGUCUUCAGGGGAAUCUUGGGGCACUGCAAGUUAAGGGUGCCUGUAGGUUUUGAAAGCUUUUAUUAACUUUUACUAAAAUCAGAAAACCCCAGGAAGACAUUCCUGUUGAAGAGCUUGUCAAUUGACUUGUGAUGUUUAAGAAAUUACAAAGAUAAAAAUAUGACAAAUAGUUAUAGAGGAAACAUGAAAACAAUGUGGAAAUGACCUGGCAGUUUAUGAUGUGUGUGAACUUACUGUGAUCUUUGACAUUUACCUUAAAGAAAAGAAAAGAUGACCAACUGAAGCCAUUGCUACUAGUGGUAAAAAUACUCCUAAGCUGAAAGUCUUCCUUGUAGACUUGCUAGAAAUGUUGAGUGAUAAGAAAAUUAAACAUUGAAUCUCAAAGUUCAUUACAGUAAUUUUUAAAUUAUGGAUUUAGUUUGAAACAUCAUUCUUUAUAUAAAUUUCCUUAUAAAUAGCAAACUUCUGUGACAGAAGGUACCCAAAUGAGCUUCAGCCUCCCUCUUUUUUUAUAAGACAGGAAGCUACCAAAACUCUUCUUCAAGUAAUGGUUUCAGGAAGAAGCUUUAUUAUCACCACUGUAACAAAAUUAUUUCAUGCUUUUUAAUGUUUUUGCUUUUGGAAAAAAAUCAUGUUUGAAAACUGUGAUGGAUUUAAUACAGUUUGAAGUCAUAUAUUUCUAGCUCUGCUGGCCACUUAAUAUUUGACCUUAGUUACUCAACCUUUUUGAAUUGUAGACUCUACUCAUAGGUCAUAUGCUUAUAAAGGCAUUUGAUAUACAAGUGAAAAAAAAAUGACUAAUUAAGUUUACAAAAUGAUAAAAAACUACAGUACAUUUAAGAUAAGUUAAAACAAGUUCCAACUCACUUUUGUGAGAGAGGUGGAUGCCACAUAGAUAAAAACGGGGCAGAAUUCUGUAAUUUUUCGGUGACUCAUAAAUAGGCUGCAGCGCAUUCACAAUGCAAGCAUUGGUGGUGUUCAUUCUAGGACAGCAUCUGCCAAGCCAAGAUUUCAGGUAGGAAAUGUGGAAAUCUGUAGAUAAUAAAAAUUCCAAUUAAAAAUUUUCUUUUGCUAUAUAUUUAACUAUAUGUUAUUUUACCAUAGCCAUCUCUUUAACUGUAUAUGUACAAAUUUUAAAUAUCAUUUAUGUUCAAUUUUAUGGACAUAAAUGCUUUCUGGCUACUUGAGAUGAAAUGAGAUCAAAAUGAGAUCUCAGAAUGAGAUUUGAGUUGAUAUGAGAAGAAAUUAUCUGGUUUAAUUUUGGAAGCAAAACUCUAGGUUCAUAAUAACAUAACUUUAACCUUAAAUGUAUUAUAGCAUAGCUAUUAAUGAUUUAGCUCCUGCUAUGUGUCAGGUACUCUCUGUAUAUUGACCCUUCUAUAUCAACCCUUCAUGACAAGAUUUAGAGUAAGUAUUAUUACCUGUGUUUUACAUAUGCAGAUGCUGAGUCCCAGAAAAAUUGUUGUAUACCCAAGAGAUGAAAUCAGUUGAGUUAGAACUUGAACAUGGAUGUGACUAACUCUUCAUCUCUGUUCUUUCAGCAUUACCUCCCUUUGGGCCAAGAGCUACAUUCACAUUUUUUACGUUACUCUGCACGUAUAUCGAAGCCACAACAAUGAAUGCUCAAUGAUUUUACAAAGUCGUGGUUAGUUAACAGAAGGGUAGGAACACAUCUUUCUGGGUAUGAAAUCUCAAUUCAUUUGUUUCUAUAUGUGGCCUAUAGACAUGUGGACAUCCUUCUUUUCUGAUAAAAAUAUGUGUAUGGAUAGGAGAAAUAUAUGUCUGAUUCAGAGUACUUAUUAAGUAAGACUGACAUAAAAGGAAAACUGAUCAGGAUAAUUUUAUUUUCAACAAUUCAGAGAAAAAUGCCUGAAAGGCUUGAGAUCUAAAGACAAAGAUCAAGGCAGAAAUCUAUUAAGGUUUGGUUCCAGAAGAGCCAGCUGGAAAUGAUGGUUUGCAGGCUCAAGUCACUAAGCAACAGAGUAGCAAACGGCUUGGUAACCAGAGCUGGCCUGACUCACAGACUGACUGAUCAUGACUGGCUGGCCAGAAGGGAGGACCAUGGCCCCUUUUACCUCAAAACAAUCUCCUUCUAUCCAUCUGCCAGCCUUCAUGCCAAUCCCUUCAUUACGCAGUAGUCUCUUUGACUUAGCAAGAUGUCUGCUUUUAUAAUGGAAAUCUCUCUGGGACCAGGAGUAAAUGCUAUCUCUUUCGUCUUUAAAAUGGCAUUUCUGAGAUUGUUUUUUUUGAGGGGGGCAAUACGUCAUAAAUAAAAUGUUAGAUUUAAUGAGAGGAAAGAAAGUGAAAACGUUGGGAUUAGUGGCUUGACUUUCUGGCUUUCGUGAACAAAUAUGUACAGAGCCAAAUUGUCUGAGUUCAUUUGGUGAGAUUUGCCAUUUAUUUGGCACUUUCUACCUUAUGAUCUUUUCAAUUUCAUGCUUGUGUUUUGACUGUGUAGUUGGACCAUAACUUCCUAAAAAGUAGGAACCUCCACACGCAUGAGUCUUUGCCUUCACAAGCACUACCUGUAUAAUGUGCAUCUAGUAAGUACUUGUUGUUUGAUUGAGAAGCAUACCUCCCGUUGCUGUGCUUCUCAUGUCGUAGUAAAAAGAAAUUUUAAACUCAAUGAUUAACCUUGUAUGUGGACUUUGUCGCCAUGACUUUGUGUGUGCGCGUGUGUGUGCAUGUGUGUGUGUUCUGGGUCUGUGCACACCUAGACAGGUGUAAUUUGACCUCGGUAUAUCUCAUAUACUGAUUCAGGAUAGUGUCACUAAUCUGUUAAAUAUAUGCAUUUUAAUAAUAUUUAGUUCAUACUUUUAAAAUAAUUUAUACCUGUUGUAUUUCUGAAAAAAACUUAUUUAAAUAUAUUUAUGAUUCUUAAGAAAUUACUGAAUAACUACCUGGUUAAACUCUGAUGACUAAUCCUUAUCUCUUAGAAUUCAUAGUUGUUAAAUUAUACACCAAGAACUAAGCUUAUAAAAGAAAUGCCAAGAUUUUGAAAAAUCAAAAACACCCUCCGUAGUUCCUUUUUUAGGAUGACAAUUUGAAGAAAUUUGAACUGGCAGAAACUAAGCACCACUUCUCUAAAGCAGGUCUUUAGAAUAACUAAAAGUGAAUAAUAGAAAGCCUUUUAGAAGAGAUUUUGCAUAUAAAUGUUAUUUUAAAGAAAAUAUUUGUCCAUAGUUUAUAUCCAUUUUUGUGUUGUAAUAAUUUCAAAACAACCAAUUUCCUUUUUAUUACCUUUAUGAGAUAGCCCCCUGGUCAUAUUAGCUAAUAUUAAAAUAAAGUGACUUCCUCUCUAUAUUAUUAGUAGGACACAUGGUUAGUUCCUUUUUUACAUAGAUGAUUUCACAUUUAUAUUUAUAAACAGUGAGUACGUAUUGUUGACCUUUUGAAGUAAGCGAUUUUCUGACUAAUAAGGUUACUUGGACUAUCAUUUCUGCAUGUUUACCUUCUUUAGGCUUAUAGUAUUUAUUUUACUUUGCUUUAUUCUGUGCAGUGUGAUUUUUAUGACUUUUUAUUGAGUGGUAACUAGAACAGUGUAUGAUUUAUGGUGGUAAUAACUAAAACAUAUAUGAAUUGGAGGCUGGUGACGCACAAGGCGGAACGCUGUGGCUCCCCUCUGAACGGAAUCCGGCUUCCUUUAAUAAAGCUCUCUUAUUAAUAACAAAGUGAUGUCAUAAAUAGCGUGGUCAUUCCUGUGUCACCUCCCCAGUUUAA